UACGGGGGGGGCAAGCGUUGUUCGGAAUUACUGGGCGUAAAGCGCGUGUAGGCGGUUCGUAAAGUCGGAUGUGAAAGCCCUGGGCUUAACCCAGGAAGUGCAUUCGAAACUCACGAACUUGAGUCCCGGAGAGGAAGGCGGAAUUCUCGGUGUAGAGGUGAAAUUCGUAGAUAUCGAGAGGAACAUCUGUGGCGAAGGCGGCCUUCUGGACGGUGACUGACGCUGAGACGCGAAAGCGUGGGAAGCAAACAGG
rnacentral:rRNA from 1 species